rnacentral:piRNA from 1 species
UGGAGCCUGUUUGAUGAGAGCACUACCUUCC